rnacentral:sRNA from 1 species
CGCUCCGCCGCUGUCCUGGCGCUUCUGCUCUGCGCCGGGCAAGGUGAUGAAAUGCAUCGUUGAGGUCAUCUCCGACACACUUUCCAAGCCCAGCCCCAUGCCUGUCAGCCAGGAAUGUUUUGAGACACUCCGAGGAGAUGAACGGAUCCUUUCCAUUCUGAGACAUCAGAAUUUACUGAAGGAGCUCCAAGACCUCGCUCUUCAAGGUGCCAAGGAGAGGGCACAUCAGCAGAAGAAACACAGCGGUUUUGAAGAUGAACUCUCGGAGGUUCUUGAGAACCAGAGCAGCCAGACUGAGCUGAAAGAGGCGGUGGAAGAGCCAUCCUCCAAGGAUGCUAUGGAGAAAAGAGAGGAUUCCAAGGAGGCAGAGAAAAGUGGUGAAGCCACAGACGGAGCCAGGCCCCAGGCCCUCCCGGAGCCCAGGCAGGAGUCCAAGACUGAGGGGAACAAUCAGGCCCCCGGGGAGGAAGAGGAGGAGGAGGCCACCAACACCCACCCUCCAGCCAGCCUCCCCAGCCAGAAAUACCCAGGCCCACAGGCCGAGGGGGACAGUGAGGGCCUCUCUCAGGGUCUGGUGGACAGAGAGAAGGGCCUGAGUGCAGAGCCAGGGUGGCAGGCAAAGAGAGAAGAGGAGGAGGAGGAGGAGGAGGAGGCCGAGGCUGGAGAGGAGGCUGUCCCCGAGGAAGAAGGCCCCACUGUAGCGCUGAAGCCCCACCCGAGCCUUGGCUACAAGGAGAUCCGGAAAGGCGAGACUGCUGGGCUUCUGGGGUGAGGAUGAGGGGAAGAGGCAGGCUCCAGCUAACCCACCGCUCUGAGCUGAGAGGGUCUUGCAAAGCCGGGCAUCAAGAAGGUUUUUCCUGCUAAGUGUCAUCACUGUGGAGAG